rnacentral:rRNA from 1 species
AUGCCCACUGACAAAACAGCAAAAGAAGCACUCCACUUGCUGAUUGACGCGUUCAGUUUGCCUGUCGGACUGGGGAUGGCGAGCAGAACUCAUUCGAAGCAGUAUGCCAGAUUUUUGGAACAACUCACUCCAGAACUUGCUUGUAAAAAUCCGAGCACGAUCAGAAACAACAGAGAGGGGCAUACCAUGCAGUUUGUAGACAGAGUUCAGAAAUGCAUCAGCCAGAGUCUCAGCCGAAAACUGGAGAACCCCGACGACCUCGACGGCGAUCUUUUCCGGCGGGACGGCGGCUCGUGCGGCUGUUUGGCGGGUCGCUCUGUCUGGUCCUGGUGGUGGCUGCGUCAGGUGGAUCUGAAGCUGGAGCACGUGUGGCAGCUUCGGGUGGAUCUGGUGGCAGCUGCUUGUGGUGGCAUCUUCGUGCAGCCGGAUCCGGAGCUUCGGGGUGGCAGCCCGUGCUCCUCGCCUGGUGGUCCUGGUCUGGUGAUGUGCGCCGCGCCGGCUGCGGCUCUUCGUCGGUGGCUUGACUCGGGAGGCUGCCGGAUCUGGCCGGGCUCAGUCGGUUUCGGCUCGCUGGUACUUCUGGCCGGCGGCGAGAUUUGUGGUGGCUUCUGCUUGGUCAUGGCGCGAUGGCUUCGUGGGAGGUGCGCGGGCUAG